AGCGUGCAUAAACAUGCAAGUCGAACGAUGAAGCAUUCUUCGGAAUGUGGAAGAGUGGCGAACGGGUGAGGAACACGUAAGAAUCUGCCCCUCAGUCGGGGACAACCCUUGGAAACGAGGGCUAAUACCCGAUACGCUGUGGAGUGAAAGAAUUUCGCUGAGGGAUGAUCUUGCGUCUGAUUAGCUAGUUGGUGUGGUAAUGGCACACCAAGGCGACGAUCAGUAGCUGGUCUGAGAGGAUGAACAGCCACAUUGGAACUGAGACACGGUCCAAACUCCUACGGGAGGCAGCAGUGGGGAAUUUUCCGCAAUGGACGAAAGUCUGACGGAGCGACGCUGCGUGAAGGAUGACGGCCUGCGGGUUGUAAACUUCUUUUCUCGAAGAAGAAGCUCUGACGGUAUUCGAGGAAUAAGCAUCGGCUAACUCCGUGCCAGCAGCCGCGGUAAGACGGAGGAUGCAAGUGUUAUUCGGAAUGAUUGGGCGUAAAGAGUCUGUAGGCUGUAUGGAAAGUCUUUUGUUAAAUGCCUCGGCUCAACCGAGAUCCAGCAAAGGAAACUUCUAUACUUGA
rnacentral:rRNA from 1 species